AGUCUUGGUCAAACGGAAAUGAUUUGGAUCUAAAAUUCCUAAGCCAAACAACCCAAACCUAAUGAGUUACACGUUCGCCACCAAGAAGAUGUUGCACGAUUUGAAUGCUUUGUCGUGUUUCACCUUGCACCGCGACUUCGAGAUCAGAGCGAAGAUGAGAUGAAGAAAUAAGGCUCCAACAUUAAAUCCAUUCUGAAAUCAACAUCCAGAUAAGUUCAACAUUGUGCGCGCGCGUAAACAUAGAAAGAAAACAAGGUGAAGUAAUCAACGCAGCAAGCCGUAGAUUGUGACCAAAUCAAAUUGAAGAACAAUGUGGAAUCGUGGCACAACGAGUCAUGGAUCACGUUGGAUUCAGCAUCGAGUUUUGGAGCUUCAAGGUCGUGCGUGAACAAAAGCGGAAAAAUAGAAUCAGAGCUAUAAACUCACCGAAUCAGGUCACUUGAAUUGGAUUUGAAAGUAAAUUUUGAAUUGGUUUGGAAGGUCAAUGAAGGAUCUCCCAUUUGCUUGGAAACCUUGAAGAUUGGAGUGGAUAAGCUUGCUUUUGGAAAGCUAUUGGAUUAACAUUGUGUAGGAAUUAUAGUAUUGUAAUAAUUUGUGCAUUGUAACUUGUAAAUUGAAAAUCUGCGUUGUAACUAGAAUGGAAAUAUUGGUUUAAAAAACAUGAAUGGAAAUUGAAUGGAUAAUGCAUAACAUUGAUUGAA